UACGGGGGGAGCAAGCGUUGUUCGGAUUUACUGGGCGUAAAGGGCGCGUAGGCGGUCGUGACAAGUCACUUGUGAAAUCUCCGGGCUUAACUCGGAACGGUCAAGUGAUACUGUCGGACUAGAGUACAGAAGGGGCAACUGGAAUUCUCGGUGUAGCGGUGAAAUGGCGUAGAGUAUGGGGGAGGAACGACCGGUGGCGAAGGCGGGUCUCUGGGCCGAUACUGACGCUGAGGAGCGAAAGCGUGGGGAGCGAACAGG
rnacentral:rRNA from 1 species